GCCGACCCUGACGCUUCCUCUUCUCGAAUCCUCGUUCCUCUCCGUUGCGCUCUUGAAAGCUUGAAAUCCGAAUGCUUCAGAGGUUGAAAUAAUCUCUACAAGGCUGAAAGCUCUUCUUGGCAGCGUCGUUGGGUCCUUUGUUAAACUUGGCAAGCAUCUCUCACUAUUUAUCUCUCUAUCUCGAUCGCGUUUGUUGCAUUUUGUAGAUUACAAGAUAAUCUGCUGAAUGUUGGUUGCAUUACUGGUUUUAAUUUUUGUGUAUAUAUAAUUUUUUGUAGUAGUGAUAUUGAUUAUUCAAUAAUCUUAGUGCAGCUUUUUUCUUUCCUUUAGAAUUUACAUCUAUAAUCCAAAAUUCCAGAUACCCUUUUGAUGAGGCUACAUUACUCUUGUAGAAGUUCACUGGAUUUUUCCACAUUUCCAAAUUUCGAAUCUUGGUGCAGUUCAUUGGAUUGUCCAAUCGCUGCUCCAAAGUGAACCAUACUCAAGUCGGUCCUAAAUUUGGUUAUUGUGGGACUUUAAUUUUAGUCCCUUACAAAUGGAAAAAAGUUUGUUAGUUGAAUUCAGCUUGACCAAAAUUCUAGAUAUUAGAGUUUGCAGUGAGCUAAAGCUUGGUUUCACGAUGUCCUACAGUAAUAAAGCAUAUAAGAUUGCAGCUGGCCGAGCUGAUUGGCUAUAGUAUUGCCAGUCAGUAAGUUAAUACAGCUGCAUAAAUUUAUCUGUGGUACAAAACCAGCUCUUGACUGCAGGAGUUUGGGCAGUGCAAGAUAGAUGGUACCACACAUUGCAAAUAUAAGAUUGCCACACUGCUGCCCUCUUUCAGUGUUGAUUUUUCUCUGAAUAUUUUUCCUCUAUUUUCUUUUUAUUUUUUCGGAUUUUAUUGCUUGACAUUAGCAAUAAUGGUACGCAAUAAUCAGUUGUAGAUCAUCAGUGCCUUUGUUUAUUGUUCACUUUUUUUUUUACUUCUUUUUUUUGGUACUUGAUUAUCUAUAUUAGUCAAUGUAUUCUACCUGUAUUUAUAACUUCUAAGUUUGUAACUUCUUUCUUAUUCUUCAUCUUUCUGCGUUGACAAAUUUCAAAGGGAUUUUUAUAGUUUAAUCUAAUGCAGAAUAAUGCUAUCAGUCUAUUACUUCUGGGGAAGAGUAUAAGAGUGAAAAAAUGCCACUGCUUCCGUUAAAAACCUCAUGUAAGAAACGAAACAUUGAUGGAUUCGGAGUGUCAAAACUUGUUUGCGUUAGGAAUGGCGUCCUAAAUCAUUUGAUGCUAUUCAUCUGGGUUAUGCUGUUUAGGAAGCUUGAUGGAAGGCGUUAUCAGAGAAGCUUCUGCAACUUGUACAGAGGAUUUUCAACAUAUUAAAAUGAGAAGAUUCACUGUAUAUGAAUGUUAUAUGCUAUUGUGAAGACUGGGGUGAGAACUGAAAAUAUAUUAUUUCAGCUUGAAAUGCAGAACAACAGAUUGAUUAGGCCGCAAACAUAGAUCAAAUGUCAUUUGAGGUCACAAGAGAUCUUGGUUUGAAACUUUAGAGUCUGUUUGAAGUGGAAAUGCAGGAAGGCAAUGGCAGAGACAGCUGCAAGAGACUAGAUAUUGAGGCUAUAAGGGGAAGAAUCAAAUUUAAAUGCUAACUGGUAGCCAAAUUAACUAACCAGAACGAUGUUCCUUCUCUAUAUUAGGGCACAAAUGUCGGGCCAGCAACAUGCCUCACCUCUACCCCUUGAUUUUAACAAAGUUUUAUACAUGUGGAAUAACUUUUUAUGACCAAGAAACUGCCGGUCAGAUUGGCUGCUGCUUGGGUUUUUUGUUAUAAAUUGUUUUUUUAUGAACAUUAUUGUGUAAUUAACCCAUUUGUUGGAUUUCCCUUUUUCUUUGAAACAUGUUAUUUCAGCCUAGUUAAUGAAAGUGAUUAAUUUCCAAUUGCCA